rnacentral:lncRNA from 1 species
GGUGCCACACUGGGCAGAUAAAGGUGCUACUGUGGGCACUGCCAGGGGGAAGCGGUGUUCCAGCAAAGCAGUGUGAGGCCAGCCCGCUUCUCCCCUUCCUCCUGGUGGUGGUGUAUUUGAGGGGAGCUCGAUCCUCUAUCAUCAGACGGAGGAGGGCAGCGGUGCAGGUGACUGCCCAGGUUUCAGUGAGGAGAGAGAGGCCUCAGCAGGAUCCAGGUGUGGAGCUGAGCUUCUGUUCAGCCUCUCAGGCAGGCAGGGAGGCUUCGUCCUUUCUCCCACGGCAGGGCCUAGCGGGAAGCAGAGUCCUCAGCCUUCCAUCCUCACACCCGAAAAAUAGAAACGUUCAGGAUCAGAACACAGUAAGCCAUCCCUGGCAUCCAGGAAAAGUCGUGUCACGUAUGAGAACAGCCAGCGACAGACAGUGGAACCGAGAUGCUAGAAUUCUGGCAAGGAUUUUAAACUGUCACGAGAGUCCUUUGGAAAGCUAUUUGUUUAUUUAAACAACUAAAAAAAAAA